AUCCUAUUCCUCAUUAUGACCUUACAGUAUUUAAAGGGAGAUUAUAAACAGGAUUGAAACCAACUUUUUACAUGGGUAGAUAGUGAUAGGACAAGGGGAAAUGGUUUUAAACUAAAGGAGGGGAGAUUUAGAUUAGAUGUCAGGGGGAAGUUUGUCACUCAGAGAGUUGCAAGGCUGUGGCACUGCUGCCCAGAGAGCUGUGAGUGCCCCAUCCCUGGAGGUGCUCAAGGCUGGGUUGGAUGGGCCCUGGGCAGCCUGACGUGGUGGGGGGCACCCAGCCCACAGCAGGGGGUUGGUCUGGAUGGACUUUAUAUUUUCUUUCAACCCAAAUAAUUCUGUGGUUCUAUGAAGUUGCAUUUUUAAACCUGAAUGCGCAGACUGAACCUGUGUAAGAUGAAGUACCUGUUGUAGCCAGGUUUGGGUACAUAUUGUUAAAAACAGCAGACUGACUGUCCUAUACCCAAAAUAAUGCCCCUGUCAUAUUUCAAAACCCAGAAGCUCUGUAGCUGGCUGAAAUAUUUUAUUUCAUUUUACUAUUAUAUAUAUAUUUUUUUUUCAUAUGGUCAGAGCUAUAUUUUGUCUCAGUCUUCAGCUAAGAAACAGCAGAGCUGCUUUUGCUAGAAGCUUUCCUCCCCAGAUAUCAUUGUUAAUAAAAUAUAGGUGAUUAUGAAGUGCUCAUCAAAUUAACUCUGUCCAAACAGUGACAUCUUGACCGCAACCUGAAUGCAGAAUAAUUUAAAAAUGGAAAUUGAAGGCUAUGAGGAGACCUCACUGUGGCCUUCCAGUAUUUAAAAGGGGAUUAUAAAACCUUUCUACUUGGGUAGGUAGUGUUAGGACAAGGGGGAAUGGUUUUAAGCUCAAGGAGAGAAUGUUUAGAUUGCAUGUCAGGGGGAAGUUCUUCACAGAGAGAGCAGUGAAGUGCUGGCACAGCUGCCCAGACAGGCUGUGGAUGCUCCAUCCCUGGAGGUGUUCAAGACCAGGUUGGAUGGGGCCCUGGGCAGCCUGGUCUAGUAUUAAAUGUGGAGAUUGGUGGCCCUGUCUGUGGCAGGGGGAUUGGAACUUCAUGAUCCUUGGGAUCCCUUCCAAUCCAAGCCAUUCUAUGAUUCUAUGAUCUAUAUUUCUUCGUACAACACUUAGAAUUUCUGAAGGCACUUGGUCAGAACAAGUGAUUCCUCUUUCAAACCAACAAAAACAUGAAGAAGUUGACUGCAGAAAAGUGCAGGGAUCUCCUGAAUGGACAACCUGGGGUAUGGGAAAGCUGGGAAGUUCUGGGCAGGUGGCAGUUGUUGAUAGACUGUGUUUUAAGCUGAGAUUGCAUCUUUGCUCUCCCAACUGUUUUCUGUCAUUUGACUAUUUUUCAUGAAAUUACUUUGAGGGUUUUCAAUUUCUCACAUUUAAAAUCCAACCAUGUCUCGGUAUCUGAUACAUAUUUAAAUAACUUUCCAGUGCCCUUGUUUAAUUCACAGCACUGAAUAUUCACAGAAGUCAAAUGAUAAAGCACAUUGGCGGCAGGAUAUUUCCAUCCCUCCCCGCUGUUUUCAACUUGUAGCUUCCAGCUCUAGCAUCCUCAUUAGAAGAAACAAGUAAGGACAAAACAGCUUGAACUGUCCUUAUUGUGAAGGCAUUUCUAGGCAAAGGUUUAAGAUUUAUGGAUACCAGGCCUGCAGAACUGAGAUGCUGAAAUAAUCACAGACCUUACAUAUGAG
ensembl:lncRNA